rnacentral:rRNA from 1 species
UUAAGCGACUAAGCGUACACGGUGGAUGCCCUGGCAGUCAGAGGCGAUGAAGGACGUGCUAAUCUGCGAUAAGCGUCGGUAAGGUGAUAUGAACCGUUAUAACCGGCGAUUUCCGAAUGGGGAAACCCAGUGUGAUUCGUCACACUAUCAUUAACUGAAUCCAUAGGUUAAUGAGGCGAACCGGGGGAACUGAAACAUGUAAGUACCCCGAGGAAAAGAAAUCAACCGAGAUUCCCCCAGUAGCGGCGAGCGAACGGGGAGGAGCCCAGAGCCUGAAUCAGUGUGUGUGUUAGUGGAAGCGUCUGGAAAGGCGCGCGAUACAGGGUGACAGCCCCGUACACAAAAAUGCACAUACCGUGAGCUCGAUGAGUAGGGCGGGACACGUGGUAUCCUGUCUGAAUAUGGGGGGACCAUCCUCCAAGGCUAAAUACUCCUGACUGACCGAUAGUGAACCAGUACCGUGAGGGAAAGGCGAAAAGAACCCCGGCGAGGGGAGUGAAAAAGAACCUGAAACCGUGUACGUACAAGCAGUGGGAGCACAGAGUUAUCGGGUGACUGCGUACCUUUUGUAUAAUGGGUCAGCGACUUAUAUUCUGUAGCAAGGUUAACCGAAUAGGGGAGCCGAAGGGAAACCGAGUCUUAACCGGGCGUUAAGUUGCAGGGUAUAGACCCGAAACCCGGUGAUCUAGCCAUGGGCAGGUUGAACGGUUGGGUAACACUAACUGGAGGACCGAACCGACUAAUGUUGAAAAAUUAGCGGAUGACUUGUGGCUGGGGGUGAAAGGCCAAUCAAACCGGGAGAUAGCUGGUUCUCCCCGAAAGCUAUUUAGGUAGCGCCUCGUGAAUUCAUCUCCGGGGGUAGAGCACUGUUUCGGCAAGGGGGUCAUCCCGACUUACCAACCCGAUGCAAACUGCGAAUACCGGAGAAUGUUAUCACGGGAGACACACGGCGGGUGCUAACGUCCGUCGUGAAGAGGGAAACAACCCAGACCGCCAGCUAAGGUUCCAAAGUCAUGGUUAAGUGGGAAACGAUGUGGGAAGGCCCAGACAGCCAGGAUGUUGGCUUGGAAGCAGCCAUCAUUUAAAGAAAGCGUAAUAGCUCACUGGUCGAGUCGGCCUGCGCGGAAGAUGUAACGGGGCUAAACCAUGCACCGAAGCUGCGGCAGCGACACUGUGUGUUGUUGGGUGGGGGAGCGUUCUGUAAGCCUGUGAAGGUGUACUGUGAGGUAUGCUGGAGGUAUCAGAAGUGCGAAUGCUGACAUAAGUAACGAUAAAGCGGGUGAAAAGCCCGCUCGCCGGAAGACCAAGGGUUCCUGUCCAACGUUAAUCGGGGCAGGGUGAGUCGACCCCUAAGGCGAGGCCGAAAGGCGUAGUCGAUGGGAAACAGGUUAAUAUUCCUGUACUUGGUGUUACUGCGAAGGGGGGACGGAGAAGGCUAUGUUGGCCGGGCGACGGUUGUCCCGGUUUAAGCGUGUAGGCUGGUUUUCCAGGCAAAUCCGGAAAAUCAAGGCUGAGGCGUGAUGACGAGGCACUACGGUGCUGAAGCAACAAAUGCCCUGCUUCCAGGAAAAGCCUCUAAGCAUCAGGUAACAUCAAAUCGUACCCAAACCGACACAGGUGGUCAGGUAGAGAAUACCAAGGCGCUUGAGAGAACUCGGGUGAAGGAACUAGGCAAAAUGGUGCCGUAACUUCGGGAGAAGGCACGCUGAUAUGUAGGUGAAGUCCCUCGCGGAUGGAGCUGAAAUCAGUCGAAGAUACCAGCUGGCUGCAACUGUUUAUUAAAAACACAGCACUGUGCAAACACGAAAGUGGACGUAUACGGUGUGACGCCUGCCCGGUGCCGGAAGGUUAAUUGAUGGGGUCAGCGCAAGCGAAGCUCUUGAUCGAAGCCCCGGUAAACGGCGGCCGUAACUAUAACGGUCCUAAGGUAGCGAAAUUCCUUGUCGGGUAAGUUCCGACCUGCACGAAUGGCGUAAUGAUGGCCAGGCUGUCUCCACCCGAGACUCAGUGAAAUUGAACUCGCUGUGAAGAUGCAGUGUACCCGCGGCAAGACGGAAAGACCCCGUGAACCUUUACUAUAGCUUGACACUGAACAUUGAGCCUUGAUGUGUAGGAUAGGUGGGAGGCUUUGAAGUGUGGACGCCAGUCUGCAUGGAGCCGACCUUGAAAUACCACCCUUUAAUGUUUGAUGUUCUAACGUGGACCCGUGAUCCGGGUUGCGGACAGUGUCUGGUGGGUAGUUUGACUGGGGCGGUCUCCUCCUAAAGAGUAACGGAGGAGCACGAAGGUUGGCUAAUCCUGGUCGGACAUCAGGAGGUUAGUGCAAUGGCAUAAGCCAGCUUGACUGCGAGCGUGACGGCGCGAGCAGGUGCGAAAGCAGGUCAUAGUGAUCCGGUGGUUCUGAAUGGAAGGGCCAUCGCUCAACGGAUAAAAGGUACUCCGGGGAUAACAGGCUGAUACCGCCCAAGAGUUCAUAUCGACGGCGGUGUUUGGCACCUCGAUGUCGGCUCAUCACAUCCUGGGGCUGAAGUAGGUCCCAAGGGUAUGGCUGUUCGCCAUUUAAAGUGGUACGCGAGCUGGGUUUAGAACGUCGUGAGACAGUUCGGUCCCUAUCUGCCGUGGGCGCUGGAGAACUGAGGGGGGCUGCUCCUAGUACGAGAGGACCGGAGUGGACGCAUCACUGGUGUUCGGGUUGUCAUGCCAAUGGCACUGCCCGGUAGCUAAAUGCGGAAGAGAUAAGUGCUGAAAGCAUCUAAGCACGAAACUUGCCCCGAGAUGAGUUCUCCCUGACCCUUUAAGGGUCCUGAAGGAACGUUGAAGACGACGACGUUGAUAGGCCGGGUGUGUAAGCGCAGCGAUGCGUUGAGCUAACCGGUACUAAUGAACCGUGAGGCUUAACCUU